AGUGAACGCUGGCGGUAGGCCUAACACAUGCAAGUCGAACGGCAGCACAGUAAGAGCUUGCUCUUACGGGUGGCGAGUGGCGGACGGGUGAGGAAUACAUCGGAAUCUACUUUUUCGUGGGGGAUAACGUAGGGAGACUUACGCUAAUACCGCAUACGACCUACGGGUGAAAGCAGGGGAUCUUCGGACCUUGCGCGAUUGAAUGAGCCGAUGUCGGAUUAGCUAGUUGGCGGGGUAAAGGCCCACCAAGGCGACGAUCCGUAGCUGGUCUGAGAGGAUGAUCAGCCACACUGGAACUGAGACACGGUCCAGACUCCUACGGGAGGCAGCAGUGGGGAAUAUUGGACAAUAGGCGCAAGCCUGAUCCAGCCAUACCGCGUGGGUGAAGAAGGCCUUCGGGUUGUAAAGCCCUUUUGUUGGGAAAGAAAAGCAGCAGGUUAAUACCCCGCUGUUCUGACGGUACCCAAAGAAUAAGCACCGGCUAACUUCGUG
rnacentral:rRNA from 1 species